rnacentral:rRNA from 1 species
GACGAACGCUGGCGGCGUGCUUAACACAUGCAAGUCGAACGGAAAGGCCCUGCUUGCCGGGUACUCGAGUGGCGAACGGGUGAGUAACACGUGGGUGAUCUGCCCUUCACUUCGGGAUAAGCCUGGGAAACUGGGUCUAAUACCGGAUAGGAGCCAUUUUUAGUGUGAUGGUUGGAAAGUUUUUUCGGUGUAGGAUGAGCUCGCGGCCUAUCAGCUUGUUGGUGGGGUAAUGGCCUACCAAGGCGGCGACGGGUAGCCGGCCUGAGAGGGUGGACGGCCAAAUGGGAAUGAAGAAACGCCCAAAACCCCCACGGGAGGAAGAAGGGGGGAAAAUGGCAAAAGGGGCGAAACCUUAAGCAACCGACCCCGGGUGGGGAAAAACGCCCUUCGGUUGUAAAACUCUUUUCCCUAGGAACAAACCUUUUUGAAAGUAACCAAAAAAAAAAGCCCCGCCAAACUAAUG